UGUCAUUUAGGUUUAUUUUAUCUGCUGAGUGGAUUAUCCAUUUCCUUUGCUUCUUUACCACUCAUCUUUUGAGCUUCUUGCGGUCAAAGACUUUUACCCAAAAAUGAGCCUGAAGAGGGAAGGAAGAUACCAGUCACUUU
rfam:Choloepus hoffmanni cont1.564452, whole genome shotgun sequence.